CAGUAGCCGCGGGAAUACGAAGGGUGCAAGCGUUAAUCGGAAUUACUGGGCGUAAAGCGUGCGUAGGCGGUUCGUUAAGUCUGUUGUGAAAGCCCCGGGCUCAACCUGGGAAUGGCAAUGGAUACUGGCGAGCUAGAGUGUGUCAGAGGAUGGUGGAAUUCCCGGUGUAGCGGUGAAAUGCGUAGAUAUGUGGAGGAAUACCGAUGGCGAAGGCAGCCCCCUGGGAUAACACUGACGCUCAUGCACGAAAGCGUGGGGAGCAAACAGGAUUAGAUACCCGCGUAGUCCCUGUCUCUUAUAA
rnacentral:rRNA from 1 species